GUGGGGAAUCUUAGACAAUGGGGGAAACCCUGAUCUAGCCAUGCCGCGUGAGCGAUGAAGGCCUUAGGGUUGUAAAGCUCUUUUAGCUGGGAAGAUAAUGACUGUACCAGCAGAAGAAGCCCCGGCUAACUCCGUGCCAGCAGCCGCGGUAAUACGGAGGGGGCUAGCGUUGUUCGGAAUUACUGGGCGUAAAGCGCACGUAGGCGGACCGGAAAGUCAGAGGUGAAAUCCCAGGGCUCAACCUUGGAACUGCCUUUGAAACUCCUGGUCUUGAGGUCGAGAGAGGUGAGUGGAAUUCCGAGUGUAGAGGUGAAAUUCGUAGAUAUUCGGAGGAACACCAGUGGCGAAGGCGGCUCACUGGCUCGAUACUGACGCUGAGGUGCGAAAGCGUGGGGAGCAAACAGGAUUAGAAACCCGGGUAGUCC
rnacentral:rRNA from 1 species